AAAGAAUUAGUUAAAAUAUAACAUAAAUAUGUCAAAUUUAAAUUAUUAUAAUAUAAUAUUCUUUU
rnacentral:tRNA from 1 species